rnacentral:misc_RNA from 1 species
GUGCGGUGUAACAAUGGUUGAGUUUAUUGACACAAAUUAGAGAGAUUUACAGCGUCGAUAGAUAAUCGCAAGGUUUCGAUAUUCGCGGCACUAUGACAAUGGUCUCGGCUCCGGCAACGUUUCCGCGGUCAACGGAUACUGGACUUUACCCUUCGUUUGCGUCUAAGUUACACUAUAUGUUAGAGCACGGGGGCAAUUAUUUCGUAUACGAAAGACAGGUCGAUUACUGAUGAGAUCGCACUAGAGAGUGUCUCUCCGUCGCGGUGACGCUGUCGAAGAAAACUAUGAUGGGUGUGCCUAAGGGCACGAGAUCAUCGGAUUCGCGGAGAAAAGUCUUCGCUCAAAGGGU